ACGCUCGACACCUACGGGAGGCUGCAGUGGGGAAUAUUGCACAAUGGGGGAAACCCUGAUGCAGCGACGCCGCGUGAAGGAAGAAGUAUUUCGGUAUGUAAACUUCUAUCAGCAGGGAAGAAGAUGACGGUACCUGACUAAGAAGCCCCGGCUAACUACGUGCCAGCAGCCGCGGUAAUCUGAGCGGGCUGGCAAGGC
rnacentral:rRNA from 1 species